rnacentral:rRNA from 1 species
UGGGGAAUCUUGCUCAAUGGGCGCAAGCCUGAAGCAGCGACGCCGCGUGUGGGAAGAAGGUCUUCGGAUUGUAUACCACUUUCAGGAGGGAAGAAGCGCAAGUGACGGUACCUCCAGAAGAAGCCCCGGCCAACUACGUGCCAGCAGCCGCGGUAAUACGUAGGGGGCAAGCGUUGCCCGGAAUUAUUGGGCGUAAAGAGCGUGUAGGCGGCCUGGUAAGUCUGCCGUGAAAACCUGGGGCUCAACCCUGGGCGUGCGGUGGAUACUGCUAGGCUAGAGGAUGGUAGAGGCGAGUGGAAUUCCCGGUGUAGCGGUGAAAUGCGCAGAUAUCGGGAGGAACACCAGUAGCGAAGGCGGCUCGCUGGGCCAUACCUGACGCUGAGACGCGAAAGCUAGGGGAGCAAACAGGAUUAGAUACCCCUGUAGUCC